UUUUUUGGUAGAUAUGAGAGUGACCUAUUGAGUUUUAUUGCCUUACUUUCUCUUACUCUCGGGAUAAAAAUUACUUGAGUGAUUUUUGAGUGACGUUCAUUUUCUUACACAGUCCGCCAUAUUGGGCACGUGUUACUUACUGAGUGAUGUGAAUGCACAUGGCGCAAUUAUAGUGCUUUGGAAGUCUGCCGGACCUGAGCGUCAACAUGGAGAAAACGGGAAUCCAAGCAGCUCUGGUAAAGACAAGGACUCAAGCAACGGAGGAGGAAACAGUCCGGAUAAAGACAAGGACCGAGGAGAUACACUAGGAUCAUCAAAUACUAUUCCGGCAGGAUCAAGCGAUAAUGUCGACUACUUACGAGUCAUCUCCGGAAGACCAGAUGCAAAGAAUAACCAAAGGAGGCGAGAAACUUCUUAUCUCGAUCUCAACGACUCCUCUGGGACUACAAUCCGGAAGUUCUUAGAACAUACUCGAGCACAGUCCAAGGAGUCAUAGAGUGUCACUGCUACUCCUGUUGCUAUUUCUUCGACUGCAACCACAACCACAACAACAACUAGAGAUACUACGACUACUAAUAGUUACACCUACUACUACGACUAUUACUACAAC
rnacentral:lncRNA from 1 species